UGCAACAGAGAGCAAACCGCCGAUGGCCCGUGCAAGCGGGAUCAGGUAAGGGUGAAAGGGUGCGGUAAGAGCGCACCGCGCGGCUGGUAACAGUCCGUGGCACGGUAAACUCCACCCGGAGCAAGGCCAAAUAGGGGUUCAUAAGGUACGGCCCGUACUGAACCCGGGUAGGCUGCUUGAGCCAGUGAGCGAUUGCUGGCCUAGAUGAAUGACUGUCCACGACAGAACCCGGCUUAUCGGUCAGUUUCACCU
rnacentral:RNase_P_RNA from 1 species